AAGCUGAUUCCCCAUCCUCCCAUCCCUGCUGCCUUUAAUCAUCGCAGCAGUACUGAGCUGGAAACGAAGAGUUAGCUGGAAGGGGGCGGGGCUACUGUACACAGCACCAGUCCAGCCAGCAGAAGCAUGGGAGACAGAGAUCUCACUAUGCAGCAGCAGCAGCAGAAGACCCUAAAUAGUGACCGGGGCCGGGCAGGAGGAGAGAGCGCGUCUCUCAGCCGGGACGUGAUGACGUCACUGGUCUCUGCUGACGCGCAGGGCUGCAGGGAGAACUGGAGGAAGUGGGCAGUGACUGGCGCUAUGCGGAAGGCGGGACUAGGUCACACAGCUGAGUUGCGGUGACGUCAUCUAUCCCCGCCAGCGUACCGGACCAGGGAGGAGUUAGCAUCAGGUGUGGGGUUGUUGCUAUUUAAUUACUGGAGGGAUGAUGGUUUUGCACAUGAUCCAAUGUUGCAUAUUGAGAUACAGCAAUGGAUCAAAGAAACUUAUAGGAGCAAGGACAGCCCAAGCUUAUUUUUUUUGGUAAGCAGAUAUAGUUUGUGUGCCUCU